rnacentral:guide_RNA from 1 species
AAAUUUAAAACAGUGAUUUAUUGGUGGUAUAGUAUAUGUGAUUAU